rnacentral:tRNA from 1 species
GGGCCGGUGGAUCAGAGGAAGAUCGCCUGCUUCGCAAGCAGGAGGCCGCGGGUUCGAAUCCCGCCCGGUCCA